rnacentral:tRNA from 2 species
GGGCCUGUAGCUUAGUUUGGUGGAGCAUCCGACUGAUAAUCGGAAGGUCUUCGGUUCAAAUCCGAACAGGCCCA